rnacentral:rRNA from 1 species
AUUGAACGCUAGCGGGAUGCUUUACACAUGCAAGUCGAGCGAGUGGCGGACGGGUGAGUAAUAUAUGGGAACGUGCCUAAUAGAGGGGGAUAACUACUGGAAACAGUGGCUAAUACCGCAUACCAUCGGAUCUGCCGAUAUGGGAUUAGCUAGUGGGUGGGGUAAAGGCUCACCAAGGCAACGAUCCCUAGCUGGUCUGAGAGGAUGACCAGCCACACUGGAACUGCGACACGGUCCAGACUCCUACGGGAGGCAGCAGUGGGGAAUUUUGCACAAUGGGGGAAAGCCUGAUCCAGCCAUGCCGCGUGUAUGAAGAAGGCCUUCGGGUUGUAAAGUACUUUAAGCGGAGAGGCGUUAUCCGCAGAAUAAGCACCGGCUAACUACGUGCCAGCAGCCGCGGUAAUAC